rnacentral:rRNA from 1 species
AUUCUGGCUCAGAUUGAACGCUGGCGGCAGGCUUAAUACAUGCAAGUCGAACGGUAACGGCAGGAAGCUUGCUUCCUGGCUGACGAGUGGCGGACGGGUGAGUAAUACCUGGGGAGCUGCCUGAAUGAGGGGGACGACACCUGGAAACGGGUGCUAAUACCGCGUAAGCCCUGAGGGGGAAAGGCCGGGCAACCGGUCGCAUUCAGAUGCGCCCAGGUGGGAUUAGCUAGUUGGUGGGGUAACGGCCUACCAAGGCGACGAUCUCUAGCUGGUCUGAGAGGAUGAUCAGCCACACUGGAACUGAGACACGGUCCAGACUCCGUACGGGAGGCAGCAGUAGGGAAUUAUUGCACAAUGGGGGAACCCUGAUGCAGCCAUGCCGCGUGUGUGAAGAAGGCCUUUUGGGUUGUAAAGCACUUUCAGUAUGGAGGAAGUGAGCUGAGUUAAUAGCUUAGUUCAUUGACGUUACCAUACAGAAGAAGCACCGGCUAACUCCGUGCCAGCAGCCGC